GGUUCUGUAGUGUAGCUGGUUAUCACAGCGGAUUCUGAUUUAUUCGAGUUUUCCGCUAACCCCGGUUCGAAUCCGGGCAGGACCU